ACUCAAAUGAAUAGACGGGGGUCCGCACAAGCGGUGGAGUAUGUGGUUUAAUUCGAUGAUACGCGAGGAACCUUACCUGGGCUAGAAUGCUAUUUGACCGCUAGUGAAAGCUAGUUUUGUAGCAAUACACAGAUAGUAAGGUGCUGCAUGGCUGUCGUCAGCUCGUGCCGUGAGGUGUUGGGUUAAGUCCCGCAACGAGCGCAACCCCCAUCUUCAGUUGCCAGCACGUAAUGGUGGGAACUCUGAAGAAACUGCCGUCGCAAGACGUGAGGAAGGAGGGGAUGAUGUCAAGUCAUCAUGGCCUUUAUGCCCAGGGCUACACACGUACUACAAUGGGGAGGACAAAGGGCAGCCACCUGGUAACAGGGAGCUAAUCUCAAAAACCUCUUCUCAGUUCAGAUUGAGGUCUGCAACUCGACCUCAUGAAGCUGGAAUCGCUAGUAAUCGCGCAUCAGCAAUGGCGCGGUGAAUACGUUCCCGGACCUUGUACACACCGCCCGU
rnacentral:rRNA from 1 species